rnacentral:rRNA from 1 species
GAUGAACGCUGGCGGCAUGCCUAAUACAUGCAAGUCGAGCGAACAGACGAGGAGCUUGCUCCUCUGACGUUAGCGGCGGACGGGUGAGUAACACGUGGAUAACCUACCUAUAAGACUGGGAUAACUUCGGGAAACCGGAGCUAAUACCGGAUAAUAUAUUGAACCGCAUGGUUCAAUAGUGAAAGACGGUUUUGCUGUCACUUAUAGAUGGAUCCGCGCCGCAUUAGCUAGUUGGUAAGGUAACGGCUUACCAAGGCAACGAUGCGUAGCCGACCUGAGAGGGUGAUCGGCCACACUGGAACUGAGACACGGUCCAGACUCCUACGGGAGGCAGCAGUAGGGAAUCUUCCGCAAUGGGCGAAAGCCUGACGGAGCAACGCCGCGUGAGUGAUGAAGGUCUUCGGAUCGUAAAACUCUGUUAUUAGGGAAGAACAAAUGUGUAAGUAACUAUGCACGUCUUGACGGUACCUAAUCAGAAAGCCACGGCUAACUACGUG